GAUGAAGAACGCAGCGAAAUGCGAUAAGUAAUGUGAAUUGCAGAAUUCAGUGAAUCAUCGAAUCUUUGAACGCACAUUGCGCCCGCCAGUAUUCUGGCGGGCAUGCCUGUUCGAGCGUCAUUACAACCCUCAGGCCCCCGGGCCUGGCGUUGGGGAUCGGCGGAGCCCCCCGUGGGCACACGCCGUCCCCCAAAUGCAGUGGCGGUCCCGCCGCAGCUUCCAUCGCGUAGUAGCUAACACCUCGCGACUGGAGAGCGGCGCGGCCACGCCGUAAAACACCCAACUCUUCUGAAGUUGACCUCGAAUCAGGUAGGAAUACCCGCUGAACUUAAGCAUAUCAUUAAGCGGAGGA
rnacentral:misc_RNA from 1 species